rnacentral:lncRNA from 1 species
GGAAGAUCAGGAGAGAAAGACGCGGCAACGGACAGAGGAGGAAGAACCAGGUCACCACCAGUCCGCGUCCGCUCUGCUGCUGUCUGCCAUCGCCAACACCGCGCACAACCUCCCGGGCUGCUGCCGUUCUCUGUAUCACUAGAUGAAGGCUCUCGGAGGAAGUCAGACCUAGUCAUCUUCCAAUUCCAACUCACCGUCUUCACCUUCGUCAUAAUCGCCGUCGCCACCGCUCAAGUAAGAGCACUAUAAGUCGCCCCUUUUUCUUUGAAUUUCAGUUCCUUCCCAAGUCCUCUAAGCAUGUCUGCCAUGGCUUCGUUUAUUGCAAUUGCCCCGUUGAUUGUUCAAAUUUUAGCAUGCGCAUGUUUAUAUCAUGAUUGAAUUUGAAAUCCCUUGUACUUCUGAUGAUUUUGGGGCCAACCGUGGCUUCAUUUGAGCAAAGAAUUGCUGGAAUUUUUCAUGUUCGUUUACUGUUUGUUGAAAUGCCCAAGUGGUCUAACAGCAGGCCGUAACAGGGCAUUCGUUCAAUGCUCAUUGCUGCAUUUCCCUAUCCAUAUUAUUGACUCAAAAAGACUCCAGCAACCAAAAAAGCUAUUUUGUUCCAGAAAAUGAUAGGUCAAGUUUACUCAACUCACGAUUUUAUCAUAUGAAAAAACACUUUGAAUAAAGCAAAGAUUCAAAGUAGGCAACUGGACUUUAUUUAGUUACAAAACAGUAGAAAAAGGACAUGGUUUUGACGAAUUUCUUUUUUUUUUUUAAUGCCGGAAAUAUUCCAGCAGGUUGAUACUGAACACCUGGAAAAUCAUGAGGCUGCUACCUUUU